AGGCAGUUGGGGAAAUAAACAGAGCGCCAACUCAACAGUCAGCGCCCCUGUGCAUCGCAGCGCAACCUGCGAUGGGAGAGGUUUCUCUGCCUUCGUGGCCGCUUCCUUAACAGAUUCAUGAUUGGCAGGUGGCCUGCGAGCUCUCACAUGCGUGCGGUGGGCGCCCCAGGGACUGCCCCUCCUUUGGCAGGAGCCUGACGAGAGAAACCUGAUAAAUUUGCACAGGGACAGAUGCUCAGGGGAAAGGAAAGAGCUCUGCCUUGCACUUGUACAGAAAGGAAACAAGGCAGCAGAGGCAAGACCAAUGGAGAGUACGGCAGCAAGACAGAAAGGGGCAGAAGGCGACAGAACAUGCACGCUGGGGACAUGGAAAUUUCUAGAAAGAAGGCGCAAGCAGGCACGAUUUCGGCCAAUCCUAGUUGGUCUGCUGUGGUAGUGGGAUGACUUACUGGAUAUGAAAGAUUGGAGGAAAAGACACCAAAAUGGUCUUGUCUGACCUCAAUACCACCCUAUAUUUUUAUUUUACUGUAUGGUUUAUAGAAUGUUUCACACAUAUUCUUAUUACAGACUUGAUUUUUCACAUUUAAGUAGCCAACACUACAAAAUAUUGUCAAGCCUUUUUUUUUUUUUUUUUUUUUUUUUUUGGCUGGGCAGCUUUAUUGUAGGCAUGCAUAUUAUUUGUAAUAAGGUUCAUGAAUUAUUGAAGGGUAGGGGGGUGCAGUGUGGUCUCUUAGAAAAGGCAUUGUUUUGGAGUCUGAAGAACCUGGAUUUAAAAUUUAGCUCUUCAACUUGAUAGAUGAGUAUGAGUGACUUUAAUUUAUCUAGAAAAUGAAGAUGUAACCCACAUAUCUCUUAUCCAGGAUAUGCUUCAUAAAUGCUAGCUAUUGCUGAAAAUGGUUUAUAAUAUCCCCAUUACUUACUUUUUUUUUUUUAGACAGAGUUUCACUCUUGUUGCCCAGGUUGGAGUGCAAUGGCACGAUCUCGGCUCACUGCAACCUCUGCCUCCCAGGUUCAAGCGAUUCUCCUGCCUUAGCCUCUUGACUAGCUGGGAUUACAGGCGUGCGCUAUCACACCAGCUAAUUUUUUGUAUUUUCUUAGUAGAGACAGGGUUUCGCCUUGUUGGUCAGGCUGGUCUUGAACACCUGACCUCAGGUGAUCUGCCCACUUUGGUCUCUCAAAGUGCUGGGAUUACAGGCAUGAGCCACCAUGCCCCGCCCCCCGUUACUUCUUUUUAGGACCCAAGGUUGGGGACCAUUAGUCUAUGUGCAGUCGUGCCUUGUUAUCUGUGGGGGACUGGUUCCAGGAACUGUUGGUAUAAUGCCUACGUGACAUAGCUGAAUUUCUCCUUUGCUCUAACUCUGCUUAUCUUUAAGAAACAGGACACCGGCGAUAAAAAGUUCCCUUUGUAACCAGACCAGCUGAGACCAGUUACAAAGCCUACCCCAGGUAUCCGACCAGAUGACUUCAAAAAGACCUCAGGCUUCAUUAUAAUCUAAUUUCCAUGCUAAAUGACACUUCCACCAGUGUCAUGACGGUUGCCAGUCCCCGUGACAAUGACCAGAAGGAGCCAUAAAAGGACAAAAACAAGGGAGCCCCUCAUUCCAAGAAGUGUACCGCCCAGUUCCAGAAAAGACAUGGAUAUUCCUCCUCUUGCUUUUAAUGUCCAGCCAUCAUUAAGGAAACCCUAUAUGAUAACCCCCUCACCCCUCACUAAUUGAGAAGUUGAUUUGUGAGCCAAGCUCCCGCUUCUCAAUUCCAUGGCCAUCGAAUAAAGCCUGCACCACUUGACACUC
rnacentral:lncRNA from 1 species